GCGCGCGCGCACACACACACACACACACACACACACACACACACAACCUCUGCCUGCCUUUUGAAAUCAAAUACAUUUCCUGCCUCUUCUCUCCUCAGUACUCACACAACCAGCUUAUUUAUAGCCCAGGAAAAGGGAAAAAAAAAACAACGCUCCACUGCAGGCCGGAAAACUAAGUAGGGAAAGAAUAGGAGGAAGUAGGCUUGCCAUUUGGCCAAACAACCUUUUCUUCAUUGAGCUCAAAGCUUAGCCGAUUCACAGUGGUGGUGGUGGUUAGGCAUAAUUGGCUUGCAAAUUUCUUUCUUUCUUUCGUAACUCCUUACUUUUGAACUGUCUUUGGGCAAUGGAGGCGAUGACAGCUUUUGAGAACAGCAAUCUCUAGGUGUUCAGGCACAUUGAAAAGAAACUUAAAACCUGGUGAAAGAAAGUGUGGUGGACAGAUGAUUUGCUAGUGUGGUGAUGUCUGUUGACGAUGCAUCUGCAAAUUAAGAUACCGUCCACGUUUGUGUGAGAGAUGAGAAGCCUGAUUGGUGUCAGCACAAUGACCAUCAAAGGAGCAGGCUCUGCUGGUUGCUGAGAAGGAAGCCGGUUGCUGUUCCUUCUGCCCCUCCCUGGUUGAGAUUGGUGUGUUUAGAAUCUGCAGCAAGAAGAUAGCAAAGCUGAAGGCAGAAGUGUGAGCCUGCUAGACGUGGUGAGGAGCCUACGGCCUCCUUCUGGCAUCCAGAGACCAAUGCAGAAAACCACAAUGAAACAAAAGUCAGAGUUGUGGUGCCCAGCGCUAAUGGAUACAUCUACAACACAACUCCUUCACCUAAAGUCCGGGGAUCACUGCAGAGAAGUGGGCAGAAAGAUGGCAAGAGCCAGAAGGACAGGGAGUUUACUGUGAGAUUGUGUCACCUAGCAAUGUCAGAAGGACAGCUGUUCAAAAGCACUUUUUCUGUGUCCUUUCUUUUCCUUUUGAAAAUAAAUCCAUGAGACACAUAUAGCCAUGCAUAUUGUUGAUUUACUAUUUAGAUGAUUCCUAAGAGCAAUGUAGUAGAGUUGCUCACAGUCACUCAGAAGGACCAAGAAUGAGGUAGCUCAGAUGUCGGGUCUUGGGUUCCUCAUCCUGCUUGGUUUUCUAUUUUAGCAAUGGAGUGAUCAGGACAGUAUCACGAAGUCCUUGAAAACUGGGAUUGGGGAAGAGCAUUUGGAAAUAUGCUGUCUUCAAGUAAUGAACUGCCAUCAUGUUCCUAGAUUCCUUGUGUCUCACCCACAAUUCCCUGCACUUCAACUCCAACAUGUGUAAACUAAAUGGAGGUUGAGAAAGCACUGCCAAACACGGACAGCCCAGAGGAGUCAGAAGAAAGGAUUAACUUUUGCAAAGAAUUUUCCAUCUGUUUCCCUGAUAAGGCUGAUUAGAACCAGCUAUCUAGUUUUGCACACUCUGAACUAACAGACUAACUGUACCAUCUGGCCUGGCUAAAUUUAAUGCAGAUUUCUUCAAGGAGUUCGGGCUCUGUUAUGUAGGCAAAGCCCUCACCUUCCCAAAUUCUCGGGAGAACAGGAGUUAAUGCUGCUAGAGGUUGUCCAUUCUGUUUACUAGAGACAGCCCGCUGGAGUAGGAAGUGUUUCGUGAUUUCCCGUAUACAGGCUGGGCACCUGUUAGCCAGCUCAUUGAAACCCUGCACCUGUUAGGUAGUUUCUCUCGAGUUUCAUUCUUUGUGUCAAACUUACAGCACAGAUGCGGUCUUUGUCUCCUGGCCUCCCUGGUACUUCUCCCAUCCCUCGCUUUUUCAACUACAUCAAUCAGUGCCCUCUCUUAUUUUUGGCAUAAAGAACUUGCUUUUAAUUAGUUUCAAGGCUUUGGGAAAAGCAGUUUAAAGGGGUUGAGUUGAUGAACGGUGUCUCUACGGUCCUCCGAUGCACACACAGAUGACCUUAGACCUCGUGGGAACUGAACUGAGUUCAGGCCUAUCUUCUUGUUUGUUAUUUAACAACAGUGUAUCCACUCUGAUAGUGAGUUUAGACAAUCUACACUGUGGUCAUUAAAGCAUUUUAUAACUUUAGUUUUUAGUAGCUCUGUUUUUUUCUUUCAUUUUUUGCUUUCUUUGGAAUUCUUCAAGUUCACUGUAUUCCAUUUCCCCCACGAUUCGUGC
rnacentral:lncRNA from 1 species